GAUGAACGCUGGCGGCGUGCCUAAUACAUGCAAGUCGAGCGAACAGACGAGAAGCUUGCUUCUCUGAUGUUAGCGGCGGACGGGUGAGUAACACGUGGAUAACCUACCUAUAAGACUGGGAUAACUUCGGGAAACCGUAGCUAAUACCGGAUAAUAUUUUGAACCGCAUGGUUCAAAAGUGAAAGACGGUCUUGCUGUCACUUAUAGAUGGAUCCGCGCUGCAUUAGCUAGUUGGUAAGGUAACGGCUUACCAAGGCAACGAUGCAUAGCCGACCUGAGAGGGUGAUCGGCCACACUGGAACUGAGACACGGUCCAGACUCCUACGGGAGGCAGCAGUAGGGAAUCUUCCGCAAUGGGCGAAAGCCUGACGGAGCAACGCCGCGUGAGUGAUGAAGGUCUUCGGAUCGUAAAACCCUGUUAUUAGGGAAGAACAUAUGUGUAAGUAACUGUGCACAUCUUGACGGUACCUAAUCAGAAAGCCACGGCUAACUACGUG
rnacentral:rRNA from 1 species